rnacentral:rRNA from 1 species
GCCACAUUGGGACUGAGACACGGCCCAAACUCCUACGGGGAGGCAGCAAUUGGGAAUAUUGCACAAUGGGGGAAACCCUGAUGCAGCGACGCCGCGUGGGCUGAAGAAGUAUCUCGGUAUGUAAACCUCUAUCAGCAGGGAAGAUAGUGACGUACCUGACUAAGAAGCCCCGGCUAACUACGUGCCAGCAGCCGCGGUAAUAC